UCCCACGGGACAAAACACUGCCACAAUGAAAAUAUUAACAUGGUUACUCAUCAUGACAGCACUUCUCUUGGUUCUCCUUCCCAUCUCAAUCCCUGUGGUAAAAAAGAAAGACAUCAAUCUGCUAAGCAUUGCCACUCAAACCAUGGUCAUGAAAACCUGAAAGAUCACGGAGCCACUCAUGUCAUUCAUCAUCAAAAAUCAAGUUGUCAUUCUGAUAUUAAGAAGCAUGGGACAGGCGAAAUAUCCAUUGACAUCAUCAACGAGCACGAGCACGAGCACGAGCACGAGCACGAUGAAUCAGCCUCGAAGCACGGUUGUUCAAGUUUAGCAGACAAAGAAAACGAUUCCCGUAAAGACUGCUUCAACACAUGUUGUAGAAAUGAGGAGUUUUCAAAGGAAUCCAUCGAGUCCUCAAUUGUGCAUGCUUGUAUUAGUUUGGACAAGAGAGAAGUAAAUGGAUGUUGUAAGAGUUACAUGAAGGAAUGCUGUAGCAAGCAUGGACACUCAGGGGGUGGUAGUUUUGUAGGAGGUUUAUCAGAAAUCAUUACAGAAUAGGCAACAGAGUCAGCAAGCUUGUGUAUGAAGAUUUAUGUUAUCUUGAUAUAUAUGGAAUAACAAUCUUUAAAUUAAUAAUUUAUAAAGGAAAUAUCUUGAUCAUGCAAUAGGUCAUGUAUAUAAAGUUUGAAGAGUUAGUUGAUGUGAACACAACAUGAUGAAUGUGACCUUUAUUUUACCAAGCAGCUCUCUUCUGAUGCUUCUCAAGGAGCUUUCGGAUUAAUUCAAAGAUAGUUUUUUAGGCAAGUUAAAUAUUGAUCAUUUAACUAAUCUUCCUUUUUUUAAUUUUAUUUUGUAGCUAAAGAUAUAGGGAAACUGGCUCCAAAUAAGGAGCAGGGGAAUCACUCCUUUCAGAAAUUGUUUGGGGGAUCAUUAUGGUUUUUUUUUUCCUUAUUUUUAAAUUAUAUAUGUAUGAAUGAAUAUUUCGCUGUAUAUUAUUAUUAUUCGUAGUACACAUUGAUGUUAAAAACUAUACAGAUUUCUAUAAUACCAUGUCAAUUGCAUUUUGCUCCUUUUAAUGGCUCUGAUUCCUUAAUAUGCUAGGUCAAAUUUGUAUCAUAAAUUCACGCGAGUUAAUAUUUUUUUUUUUUGGAUAGAAUUGAACUAAAAUAAUUGUUAGUUGAUAAGAAAGAUUUAAGAAUGAAUUAGUCUUGUUUUAAGUUCAACGGACAAUAGUAAUAUUGCAAGCAAAUUCGAGAGAUAUGUAUUAUAAUAUAUUAAAAUAAAACUUUAAGAUUAUAUGUUGAUAUUUUAUUGGAUAGAACGUCAUAAAAUCGAAUUUGUGUCACUUCAAUAAACAUCAGAUGUGUCAACUUUCUUUUAUUAUUGUUUAUUUUUCACAAAUUUUAUAGAUUAUUCACUAUCUUAUAUUAUGUCUCUUAUUUAAAUAUUAUUUUAUAUUGUCUACUUAAAUUUUUUUAAAUUAAUCUCAGAUUAUUAUUUCAUAACGCAUUAUUAUUUCAUAAUGUUUGCCCAAAAUCUUCUAAAUUAAUCCUACAUUACUACUCAAUACAUUUUUUUUUUGUUGAUUUAUCAACUUCUCAUUUUCGAGAAGAAUUUUUACCAUCUUUUAUUUGAGAAAUUUUUUUGGUUUGAAUUUAUCAACUUCUCAUUUUCGAGAAGAAUUUUUAUCAUCUUUUAUUUGAGAAGGAAUACCAUCUUUGUGGAAAUACAAGUACAUAUAAAAUUUUUAUUUCUAUAAAAGUCUCAUACUUCUAAAUAUUUUUUUUUUCAUAGUUAAAAAUAAUAUCCCAACUCUUACAAUAUAAUUGAUUAAUAGAGUUAGCAAUAUGAGUUAUGUAAAAUAUUUGUCAUGACACUCAUUCUUUGAAAUAAUGUAACGUAUCACAACUUGAAAAAAUGAUAGUAGAGAUAUUUGUUUUCGGUUCUAGCUGUCAUUUACUUAUUUGCUAGCAAUUGUAUACAUCUUUUUAGCAAAGAUAUGAUAUUAAAUCUAAUAACAUAAAAAAAAAUUACUACAAAAGACUUCAACUUCUUCUGCAUUGAGAGUACGUAUGUCUCUCUUGUUUACUGCUGUUAAAAUAUAUUUCGACUAUUUAUAUGUGUCUUUUAUUGUUGGAUGUGUUGCUAAGAAUAUUGGUGGAAAAAUAGCAUUUGGUUUUCUAUUUAUUUUUAUUGGGUCAAAAUAUUUUGAACUGUGUAAACAAAAUACUAUUUUAGCAUAUCCUAUAUUUUUGGUAAUAAUAAUAUUUUAUUUUGAAGCAUGUGUUCUCUUGAAUGGAAAUUCUAACGAUAUAUAUUUUUUUUGUUAGAAAACAUAUAAUACAUGGUUUUGGUACAUCAAAAGACAUUUCAAUUCAAUCUAAGUAUGUGUUCUUUAUAUUUUGUCACAAUUUUAUUACUUGUGAUUAGUUGUCACGUAUUUUAUACUCAAUUCAAAACUUUAAAAAACUUUUUUAAGAGAUACAAAUUUUUCUUUUGAGAAGGAAUACCAUUUUUGUGGUAAAUACAAGUACAUAUAUAAUUUUUAUUCCUAUAAAGAUCUCAUACUUCUAAAUAUGUAUUUUUUUUCAUAGUUAAAAAUAAUAAUAUCUCACUCUUACAAUACAAUUGAUUAAUAGAGUUAACAAUAUGAAUUCUAUAAAACAUUUAUCAUAACACUUGUUCUUUGAAAUAAUUUAACAUAUUCUUUUGUUUACUCGAAUUUGAAUUCGUCAGAUUUAAUUAUAUUAGUUAAACUAAGAGUUUAAAAUAAUUUAUUUUAAUUUCUAAAACAUAGAUGUGAAAUAUCAAACAUUAAUUUUUUUUUAAAUUUUAAAAAAUUUAAACUAAUUUAUUUUACUUUUUUGUAUUAAUCCUCCUAUUCUGAAGAAUGAAGACUUGAUAAUCUAAAAUUAUAACAAAAUGUAACUGAUAAAACAAUUCAAUUAAAAUAAAACCUCGAGUUAUAUGUAUGAAUUCUCACAUAGCAUGACAUUUUUGAGUCUUGAGUCAUUCGGGAGAGGAUCUACUAGAAUAGAAACCAACCAUGUAGAACUCUAGCUAUUUGCAAGCUAACAAGUGGAUAACACUAGAAAAAUAAAACAAUUUAAUUUGUUGUAG
rnacentral:lncRNA from 1 species